AUGUAUUAUAAAAAUACUUUAAAAUAGGUAAAUAAAAUAAAGUAGUAAUAAUAACCACUAAAAUAAAAACCAUAGGAUAUCUAAACAAAUUUUAUUUUUAAUAAUAAAUUGGGCUUGAGCCCAUAUUGGAAAGAGAGGUGAAGAUGGAGGAUAAGGGGUGAAGGAAAGUAGAAUAGGGGCUGCAAGGUAGAGAUGUUUUUUGUUUGACCCGUAUGGGCCCAAUUGACUACUGGUACGGUGCGAAAUAGUAAAACGGGGGUGUAGAAGGAAUAACAUAAAAAACUAAAGAAAAAAAAAUGAUAAAAUAGAAAAGUUAAAAUGGACCCCAGCCCAAUCCCCCUCUUCAGAAUUUUCCUAGGGUUUUCUCACCCCCCAAACUCUCUAGGAGGCUCUCAUUUGCAACACUCUAGCUUCUACUCAGAAACCUAAAGUCUCUCAUCUCUCCACUCUGCCAGCAAACCUAGGGUUUCUACUUCCACCGGCAGCCGCGAAUCACACCACCCCCAACCGGCCAGCCACCGCGCCGUCCCCUCUACUCCGUCAACGGAGUUUCCGGUGACAGCAAACGCUGCCAGAACCGCAGCGUCGGGCCACGACGUUCUCUCCCUCCCCCUCUCUCUCUGUUCGAUCUAGGGUUGGGGUUUCUUCUCAAAUGCGCUGGCGCCUCCUCCGACAUCCACGGCGCCACCACCGUCGAGGUUCGUCUCGCAUCAUCGCCGGCGACGCCAACCCUCACCGAAAGCGUCGAGCACGAACCCUCCUUCUUCUUUAAAUUCGAAACCGCUACCGUCAGAGUAGAUGGGCGUUGCCGCCGCCGUCGACCACCAGUAGCAGCCUUGAGGAUUGGUUUCCUCUCCGACCCUCCACUUCUUCGUUCGCCAUUUCACGUUACCUCAGCUCUCAACUUCGACUUGGUUACUCAACGAGACAGGGUUGCUUAACAGUGGUUUAAAGUUCCAGAUUUUGUGCUUGUGCUCCUGUGCAUGUGUUUGGCGACCUUGGGUUUCUGUUAUGGUAUGGUGCGUGUGUGUAUUUGGACCUGUGUGAGGAACAGAGGUGGGGAACGGAGGAAUUGGUGAAGCUUGGGAGUGUAAGGUUUGGGUUGGAGGAGAAUAGAAUGGUGAUUGGGGCUGGAAAUUAGUUUUGGUUCUUGGUGAUUGGUGCCUAUCUCUGUGACUUAGCGCCUUGCAGGUUGAGGGUGAUCGGGCCAUAUAAACUACACUCUGCUUUUGUCCAUUUCUAGCCUUUUGGUUAGAGUUUGAUAACUGGGUUCUGUAUCUCAAGUCUCUGCUUAUGCUAUGUCUAUUGAGAUGUAUUUAUCAUUGUGAACUAAACUGAUUGGAGUUAGCUCUCUCUUUCUUGCUUGGUGAAGAAGGACAGGGUAUGGGAUAUUUUCUUCUGGGUUGCAGGGAAGCUAGGAGCAAGGGGUGACAAAAAUGGCGAAAAUGUGGAAGCCAUCCAACAGCAAAAGAAAAUCAAAGAGUGAAUAUGGGAUGGUGGUGGUGGCGUCGUAAACGACUCAAGGAGGUUGGGUUAGUUUUUCUUUGCUUGGUUGUCAACUCCAUUGGACACAGGCGAGGAAACAGAGCAUGGGACAGUGUGGGAUAGUGAAUGGAGAACGGGAAGGAUUCAAGUCACAUGAUCAUACACAACAUGGUAGGUAAAAUUCUCUAUAACAGUCAUAACACCAAUGCAACAGUAAUAUGUUCAAGGACAAAAACAUGGAGUGCGAGGAGGCAUUACUUACCUCUUGAAGACUCGAUUGCCAACGCAUCCUUGCGUAUCCGAUGAGUCUCCUUCUCCUCCGACGCAGUUCCAAAUAUUGCUCUCACAGCUCCUUGAUUCUUGAUGCAGCGAGCAAUUUUUUUUUUGCUUAGUGUUCUCUUCGUAAAAAAUAAUGCUGAAAAUGCCACCCUCUUUUGUUAUCGUUCCCCCUGGCCAAAGCUCUCUCGACCCUUUUUUUGGUUCUCGCCUCAGCUUCCUGCUCCACUUCUCAGUAACCGUUUUCUCUGCUCUGUCAAAUUCCAAAAACGUCUCUGCUGCCAUGUUUCCUCAGACCACCUUAUCUCUUUGUCGUUAUGCACACAUCGCCACCACGCUUCAAGCUCCUUUUUUUUUUAUUUUUUUUUAUUUUUUUUUAAAGAAAAACUAACUUAAUUAUAUUAGCACAAAACUAAUAAUAAAAAUAAAACGAAACCCAAAAAAUGAAAAUUAUGAAACGAAAAAUAAAAAGAAAGAUAAGAUAAAAUAAAAUAAAAAUAAAAAGAAGGAAUAAAAAUAAGUAGAGGAAUAAAUAAAAUGAAAAUCAAGAUAAGAAAAUUUGGUAUUGACAAUAAAAGUUACAUGUCAUUAGAAAUUACACAUAUUUCCUAGUCCAUCAUUUAAUAAAUUUACGAAAUAAAGAUUAAAGCAAAAAUUAAAUUUCCAUAUCAAGCAAUUAACAACUAAUAAUCCUAACUAAUAAAAGGAUGAAUCUUUAAACGGAAUAAAAGUAUGAAUUAUACAAUUUUGGGUUCAUGGACUCAACCUCUUUGAAGUUCAGAAAGGCAAAAUAUUCCCAGAAUAACAAUGAAAAAGAACAAUUUGACCUCUUUUUGUCUUUACAGCAAUUCUUUAUUUCGGGGCCCAAUGGCAUUGGAUCUGAGAUAAACAAAUUAUUCUAUAAAAAGC
rnacentral:lncRNA from 1 species